rnacentral:misc_RNA from 1 species
UCCCAGGACUCCCAUCCCUG